AUGAUGAGAUGGCGGAUUGCUGAGCUGUGAUGAAGACCUUAGGGUCUGA
rnacentral:snoRNA from 1 species